rnacentral:rRNA from 1 species
CAAUAGCGUAUAUUAAAGUUGUUGCAGUUAAAAAGCUCGUAGUUGGAUUUCUGGUGGGAGCGAUCGGUCUGGCGCUUAGCGCGAGUACUUGCAUCGUCUCCGGCCAUCCUUGGGGAAAGUCUGUCUGGCAUUAAGUUGUCGGGCAGAGGAUCCUCAUCGUUUACUGUGAAAAAAUUAGAGUGUUCAAAGCAGGCUUAUGCCGUUGAAUAUAUUAGCAUGGAAUAAUAAGAUAGGACUUUGGUACUAUUUUGUUGGUUUGCGCACCAAAGUAAUGAUUAAUAGGGACAGUUGGGGGUAUUCGUAUUCCGUUGUCAGAGGUGAAAUUCUUGGAUUUACGGAAGACGAACUACUGCGAAAGCAUUUACCAAGGAUGCUUUCAUUAA